rnacentral:rRNA from 1 species
GACGAACGCUGGCGGCGUGCUUAACACAUGCAAGUCGAGCGAUGAAGCUCCUUCGGGAGUGGAUCAGCGGCGGACGGGUGAGUAACACGUGGGUAACCUGCCUCAUAGAGGGGAAUAGCCUUUCGAAAGGAAGAUUAAUACCGCAUAUGGUAGCUUUAUCGCAUGGUAAUGCUAUUAAAGGAGUAAUCCGCUAUGAGAUGGACCCGCGUCGCAUUAGCUAGUUGGUGAGGUAACGGCUCACCAAGGCGACGAUGCGUAGCCGACCUGAGAGGGUGAUCGGCCACAUUGGGACUGAGACACGACCCAG